ensembl:lncRNA
AUCUUAUACCAGCUGAGCACCUUCUUCAGAGAAACUGAAUUGUCACCUUGCUACUGUCAAAGGCACAUAGUGAAGAGCUGUGGGCAGAACUGGACUUCAGGAGAAGGGGCAGGCAGAACAGGAAGUCCUGGGUCCUUGUUAUUUCCGGGGCUACUUCCUGCACCAGUGGACCACCAAGACCUUUCCCUGAGCUCGACAAGAACCACUCAGACCUGAAAAACAGAUGGCCCAAGAAGGUGGUGUACCUGGCAGCCAAGUCCACAGGAGAGGGUGUCGCUUUCAGAACCAAGUUUUGAGGCCACCCAGGGAAGCUGAAUAAAUCAGGUUCAUGGACCACCUGCCCAGGGUGGGGGCUCAACCCACAGCGAGCUAAGCCUUCUUCUAUCAGUUAACAAUCAAGAAAAUGCCCCGCCCAUAGACAUACACAAGCCAAUCUGAUGAAGGCAGUGCCUCAAUUGAUGUUCUGUUUUCCCAUGUAUAUCAAGUUGAUGACCAAGAUUAGCCAUAGCAACUGGGAACUAAGGGUAAACACGGUAGUCUGGAGGCACAUUUAAGCAUAACGCCUUAAGACUGACCAAUGGGUCUGGCAGCUCUAGCCUUAAAGUCCAUUGCUUACUGCUUAUACCAAGGGCAUUAAAAAAAAAAAAAAACCAACAAAAAGAGUCAGCCAUGUAACAAAUGUUCCACAAGGAAUGAAACUGACCAGAAAGUCCCUGUCUCCAAAAUCCACAAACUGGUAGACAUAAUUCAGGAAAUAGGAUGAUGGAGGAGGAGCUUGAGCACAGGGUAGGGAGGACGUAAGGAAAGGAGCAUGGACACAAUGGAGGAGGAUGAGGAGGAGAACACAAGCAUAGUGCAGUGGGAGGACUCUGAGGGAGAGAGCAGUGUAGGGUAUUCUGGACACUAGGCUGGAUGCUCGUUAAUGCUGUUCGUUUGUUAGUUUUUUGAGAUAGGAUUAUUAUGUGCAGCCCUGCCUGUCCUGAGACUCACUCUGCUUGCCUCUGCCUCCAGAAUGCUGAGAUUAAAGGUGUGUCCACCAUGCCUGGCAGCCAAUGCUAUUUUAAACAAUAUUAAGUAUACACGAAGCUUCCCCGUGUUGGUAGGUUUGUGACCUACAGUCUAUGCUGCCCAUCACUCUCCAUCUUUCCCACUUAUGUCUUGGCAGGUUAUUUUCAUAUUAACCUUAGGGCACCUUGGCAGGGUUCUGUCUAUCAUCCUGUGUACCCAUUGUAGCAAAGACCACUAAAAUCCCCCCCACUGCUUGUGGAGAGUGCAUGGAUACAGUGUAUCGCUAUGGAGAGUGCAUGGAUACAGUAUAUCACUGCGGGAACUGCUCAGGAUUUAAGCAUCAGAAGAGGGU